CAUUAGAUGACUGAAAGCAAGUAAUGGUCUCUUAAACCAAAAUAUAGUAUCUUAGCAACUACUUCUAAUGA
rnacentral:tRNA from 1 species